rnacentral:rRNA from 1 species
UACGAAGGGGGCUAGCGUUGUUCGGAAUUACUGUGCGUAAAGCGCAUGUAGGCGGAUAUUUAAGUCAGGGGUGAAAUCCCGCAGCUCAACUGCGGAACUGCCUUUGAUACUGGGUAUCUUGAGUAUGGAAGAGGUGAGUGGAAUUCCGAGUGUAGAGGUGAAAUUCGUAGAUAUUCGGAGGAACACCAGUGGCGAAGGCGGCUCACUGGUCCAUUACUGACGCUGAGGUGCGAAAGCGUGGGGAGCAAACAGG